CUUUCAAGUUGCACUGAGAUUCUUAGAAACAUCAACUGCAGGAACUAAAACUGUAUUUUGCGAAUUUAAUCACAUAGAUUAUGCUGAAACCUUGAUGCAGCCAUGUGGGUCUAACUGAGAUGUGUGUAAUGAUGUUUGACUGAGACUGAGCAUAGGUGGGGCUGCCUAUUUGUGUGCUCCCAAGGGCUCUUCUGCUGCUGAUACUGUGUGGAUAAAUCAGGGUUGUGACAAACUACAGUGUGUUACUAUAGGCCUCUUGCUCUUCUUUUGAAAAUGUGAAGGCUGAUGCAUUACAGAAAUGCUAGAGACUAAAAAUAAAAAUCCUCUAUUACAGGAACCACCAGGAGGAUAACCCAAUACUCUGAAGUUUGUUUGUUGUCCAGACCGCUUCUGUGUAGUGAAACCAAGUUCGGAAGUGCCAAAAAUUUGAAUAUUUCUACGUAGUUUUGGAGACAAUCCUGCCCUGAAAGCCAUCACAUUCAGAGUUUUUCAAGAAUGUUUCUUUAUUUUCUUCAUUAUCUACAAGAUAUUUUGGGAAAAGGAAAAGCUUGCUUUCUAUCAGCUGUAGAGGAAGUUGAACCUGUCCUCAUCUCCUUUAGGUGAGUCAAUAAUAAAUUAUUGCACAGAAGUGAGGAACA
rnacentral:lncRNA from 1 species